rnacentral:lncRNA from 1 species
UCCGAGCUGCCAAUGCAUCUAUCAACCCCGGAGUUGAGCAGUCACCCUCCGGGGAUCCAAAGACAGUCACGGGCUUCCCUUUCCUGCGGCUGGAGGCCGCAGACUGGGUGGAAGAGGCAUCUGUCCCCAAGGGCGUGCACAUUGCCCUCUCCAGCCAAGAGCAGCGUGCUGGGGACCCUCGUGGGCAUCUUCUCUUGCUGAGGCAUUCUUGUUCACAUACUUAGAUUUAACGUAUCUGAAAAUAGUUGCUGCAAAGGAGUGUAGGUAACACAAACCACCACCUGCAAACUUCCUUUCUAGCUCAACAAAAAGGAUCCUUAGGCAAAACUUCCAGAGUAGGAUGAGAGGAACAGGAAGGAGAGGACUCCCGGGUUGGGGACUACACAGACUCCUCCAGAAACUAAUUCAAGUACACUCAUUCCCCGGGGACACGAGUGUAAUUCAAAUGUGUACAAAGAGGCAAUCCGGGGACCUCCCAGCAUGACGUUGGCAUUUUGGUCCCCUGGGGCCUUUACGCUAGACUCCUAGUGUGAUAAACGGUAAAGAACGGGUAACCCUCUUCCAUCCUUCCCCUUUCAAUGGUGCAUCCAGUUCCUAAUACCCUUUGGAAUCCGUUGGUGAUAUUUAUUGACUGGGGAAGAGCCAGUUGGAUUUAUUCCGUUUGGUAGCUCCCUGUGGCUUUUAGUCCUCAGGCGAUAUCACGGGCUCUGCCUCCUUCGCGCUUCCUCUGUUCAGCUCCCACCUCUUCACCCUCUGAGUCCUGGGCUCCCGGCGGUUCCGAGCCCUCAGAUUUCUUGUCCGACAGCGCUAUCUAGUGGUCAGCGCUAACCCGGCGUCAGAGGUUAAAGUUAACAGAGAACGUAGAGCUGGGAAGUUGUUGACAAGUUUACAAGUCUUGGGGUGAGUUUUUAAAAAAAAGUCUCAUUCAUGUAUUUGAUUCUCAGGGCUGAGAGG